CGUGCUAAUCUGCGAUAAGCGCCGGUAAGGUGAUAUGAACCGUUAUAACCGGCGAUUUCCGAAUGGGGAAACCCAGUGUGACUCGUCACACUAUCAUUAACUGAAUCCAUAGGUUAAUGAGGCGAACCGGGGGAACUGAAACAUCUAAGUACCCCGAGGAAAAGAAAUCAACCGAGAUUCCCCCAGUAGCGGCGAGCGAACGGGGAGGAGCCCAGAGCCUGAAUCAGCAUGUGUGUUAGUGGAAGCGUCUGGAAAGGCGCGCGAUACAGGGUGACAGCCCCGUACACAAAAGCGCAUGUGCUGUGAGCUCGAUGAGUAGGGCGGGACACGUGGUAUCCUGUCUGAAUAUGGGGGGACCAUCCUCCAAGGCUAAAUACUCCUGACUGACCGAUAGUGAACCAGUACCGUGAGGGAAAGGCGAAAAGAACCCCGGCGAGGGGAGUGAAAAAGAACCUGAAACCGUGUACGUACAAGCAGUGGGAGCCCCACCACUAAGCCAGUGGUGAACUCCACAUACGCAUCCUUUGCUGAGGAUACGGUUAACGGAGCGAAAGCGACGUUCAACCGCAAAAGAAGCAGAGGGGGCUUAGUGGUGGGGUGACUGCGUACCUUUUGUAUAAUGGGUCAGCGACUUAUAUUCUGUAGCAAGGUUAACCGUAUAGGGGAGCCGAAGGGAAACCGAGUCUUAACUGGGCGUUAAGUUGCAGGGUAUAGACCCGAAACCCGGUGAUCUAGCCAUGGGCAGGUUGAAGGUUGGGUAACACUAACUGGAGGACCGAACCGACUAAUGUUGAAAAAUUAGCGGAUGACUUGUGGCUGGGGGUGAAAGGCCAAUCAAACCGGGAGAUAGCUGGUUCUCCCCGAAAGCUAUUUAGGUAGCGCCUCGUGAACUCAUCUUCGGGGGUAGAGCACUGUUUCGGCUAGGGGGUCAUCCCGACUUACCAACCCGAUGCAAACUGCGAAUACCG
rnacentral:rRNA from 1 species